rnacentral:rRNA from 1 species
GUAGGUGGCAAGCGUUGUCCGGAAUUAUUGGGCGUAAAGCGCGCGCAGGCGGUUCUUUAAGUCUGAUGUGAAAGCCCACGGCUCAACCGUGGAGGGUCAUUGGAAACUGGAGAACUUGAGUACAGAAGAGGAAAGCGGAAUUCCACGUGUAGCGGUGAAAUGCGUAGAGAUGUGGAGGAACACCAGUGGCGAAGGCGGCUUUCUGGUCUGUAACUGACGCUGAGGCGCGAAAGCGUGGGGAGCAAACAGGGAUUAGAUACCCUGGUAGUCCACGCCGUAAACGAUGAGUGCUAAGUGUUAGGGGGUUCCCGCCCCCUUAGUGCUGCAGCUAACGCAUUAAGCACUCCGCCUGGGGAUACGGCCGCAAGGCUG